ACUCCUAGCCUGACUACUGGACUAAUCUAUACAAACAUAGAAGCAAUACUGUUAAUAUGAGUAACAAGAAAUUUUUCUCCUAGCACAAGCUUACAUCAGUAGCUGAUAAUAUACUGAUAAUUAACAGCAAAUAAAUAAACUCCAACACUAAACCAUUUAUUAAUACACUGUUAACCCAACACAGGCGUGCACUAAGGAAAGAUUAAAAAAAGUAAAAGGAACUCGGCAAACACAAACCCCGCCUGUUUACCAAAAACAUCACCUCUAGCAUAACUAGUAUUAGAGGCACUGCCUGCCCAGUGACUAACCGUUAAACGGCCGCGGUAUCCUGACCGUGCAAAGGUAGCAUAAUCACUUGUUCUCUAAUUAAGGACUUGUAUGAAUGGCCACACGAGGGUUUUACUGUCUCUUACUUUUAAUCAGUGAAAUUGACCUCCCCGUGAAGAGGCGGGGAUAACAAAAUAAGACGAGAAGACCCUAUGGAGCUUCAAUUAAUCAACCCAAAUAUUAUAACCUUAAACCACUAAGGGAUAACAAAAUCUUAUAUGGGCUGACAAUUUCGGUUGGGGUGACCUCGGAGUACAAAAAACCCUCCGAGUGAUUAAAACCUAGGCCCACUAGCCAAAGUAUGACAUCACUUAUUGAUCCAAUCCUUUGAUCAACGGAACAAGUUACCCUAGGGAUAACAGCGCAAUCCUAUUCUAGAGUCCAUAUCGACAAUAGGGUUUACGACCUCGAUGUUGGAUCAGGACAUCCUAAUGGUGCAGCCGCU
rnacentral:rRNA from 1 species